GUAUCUUAAGCUUUGCUUAGUGUUGGGUGAUUGUCUGUAUGUAUUGCAGACUCGCCUUGAAUCUAUUGGCCGCCGAUAGUCUAGUAUGCGAGCGCAGCACAUUUGCGCACCGUACCCGUCUUAUUAGCCACCAUCAAGUACAAUAUCAAC
rnacentral:misc_RNA from 1 species